CAUGACAGCUUUGCUGCUUGUCAAAAAUUGGGACAGCUCUAUUUGCCUUGGGUUAACUGGUUCACAUGUCCCUUGCCUACGUGUGAUCUCAUGUAGCUGUUUACUAGGAUGCCCGUUUUCUAAGGGGAAAAAAAAAUAAUAAUACGCAAAGUAAAAUCCCACAGGUUUGGGGAUUUAAGGAUUGGAGUUUUUUUAAAACCACAGGCUUCCUGGGUAAGCAAAACUCUCAUUUCUUCAGACUUACUUGUUAGUGUGAUAGACUGUGGAUUACAGUAGAGAAGCAUUUCCAGAUUCUGAAAAGACCUUCAAAAAUCAGAGGUUAGUAAAUAAAUGUAGGCAGCAGGAGGGGGCUCUUGAUUUCCCACAAGAAGGGGAAAAAAAAAGGCACAGGAAGAGGCCUGACCUUCCUCUUCUGUGGACACUAACCCAGCACAGAAUUAUAGUCCUGUCUCACUUGCUUCAUGCAGACAAAGGGUAGUGCCCAUGAAUGAAGGUACCCUGGCCCAAAUUCUUCUCUGCUUGCUUUCAUCAGCCGCAGCAUGCUCACCCAGGGACUGAGUAAUGCUGCGUAAUUGAUGGCUGUUUGCACUCCGGAGUCUCACAGCCUGGUGUUUUGAGGGGGAAAAGAAAAAGAGACAUGAGGGCAGCCCUAGGCUUAAAAGAGAGACAGAAGGAUAUGAGACUUCUGGAGAUCAGUUUUGUUGCUGGAUGAGGAGAGUCUGAAAGAGAGACGGCCUAUGAGCAAAACCAAGGCAGCACAAGCUACGACAGAGGAUGACACCCCACUACUGGCACGAUGGCAAGCUACAGUAACCCAAAUGGCAGGGGUCAGGGUGGCACCAGUCAUGCAUUUGAACGGUGACAUGUGAAUAUGGAAAGGCACACUGGAAGCUGGAAGUUUGAUCCACUGCCUUUCAGCACACACCUAAUACCCUUCAGCUAACAGUGGCUUCUACUGCUAGAAUAGUCUACCUUUUUUCAACCUAACUGGCAGUAAAAUGCAAAAAAAAACCCUGAGAUGUGUCUUAUGACCAACAGCUAAAACAAGGCUAAUUGCUCCCAGGGAGAACGCCACCAUGUAUUCUAUGGAGUGAUACAAGGUUGAGCUUAAAUCUUAAUCUAGUUGGAAGACAGCUAUUUUUAGUAGAAUUCUAACACACGGAACCAGUACCUUUUAGUUCAACACUUUCUGAAAUUUUCCCAAAUGUAGAAACAAACCCAAAAUAAAAUAAAAGAUGUACACAGUAGGACAGAAGGUAUCUGUGAAAAAAUCUGGGUUUCAGUUCAGUGAUCAAAGUGGAAGUAACCCAUGGAGAUACUGAAGAUUUAGACUAGUGUAAUGAGAAAACAAUUUUUAUUGGAGACAAAAAUGUCAAUUAAAAUGUUUACAGUCACAGCAUUUUGCUUUUCAUUGCUGCAUGACAGCCCAAUAUUUGUUCAGAUAGCAGGGAUAAGCCAAUUCCACAGCUUCAGAGAAGCACAAGUGAGCAAAUUCAAAUAAUAAUACCGUAGCAACAACCCCAUGAUCACCUCAGUGUAAGAAAACUGGAUCCCUCUGGAUCACUAUGUGGAUGCUCAAGAUACUGACAUGGAAAUCCUGCAACCUUACAGAACUGUUUUUAAUACACUUCUUUCACUUUUUCCCCUAUUGUCAUUAUCUAAUUAGAGAUGGGAUGAAUCGGUUUUUCCACCUUUCUACACUAUACUUUCCCUUCAUGCCACAAUUCAUAGUAAUUGAUACUAAAUAACUUCAGCACUGAACUGUUAUUAGCCACAGCUUAGUGCAAUUCUAUUUUAAGUUUGCAACAAUCUAAUUUACUUUUGCUAUGCCAAUCAACAUCAGUAUUACAUAUGAAGGGGAAAACGAAAAAGCCAAGUUUAUUAUUUCUGGUAAAAAAAGAACCUAAAUAUUUUCUCUCGGGAUUACAUAAGCUUGUAUCUGCCAGAAAGACAUGUGGCAUUGGAAAUCCCGUGGUUCAAAACUGAAGGUAAUCUGCAGGCAUCAGUGAAGAACAAAUGGGAGACAGCUGCAUACGAACCAGAGGAGAGACCAUCCAACUUCUGUGUCAUUUACAGAACUUACCUUUCACCUGCACACCUCAAGGAUCACAGCACCUUCCCUUUCCUCCUGUAGGAGCCAUGACAAGAUGAGGUGGCCCACUCACUUCAGCCCAACCUGACCAGAACAGCCACUGGUAGCCAAUGUGCCAUGGCAGAGUAGCUGACAUCGUGAACAGAUGCUCGUGACUGACCAGGUGUUUCACAUACUGAAGCCAACAAAAAGCAAUAUCAAUGACAAAACAAAAUAAAUAAAUUAAAAAAAAAAAAAACAAAACACCCUGAGAUCAAAUAAAAGCUGUACUUUAUGACAAAAUAAAGGUCUUAACUUGCACAUGCUGUCUGGAAAGGAAACCAUAUGCUCAUUCUGCAUAACCAAUUAAUUUUGAAAUAUAUUUUAAUUGCAUCUGUCCAUAUCAUAGUCUAUAAACCUUCUGGCUUGCUAUAGGUUUCUCUAUUCUUUACAGGUAUCACUAUAAAAAGUUCAACUAUUGUCUCUCAGUGUGAACUAAAAUCUCACGUUUACAGUGACAAAACAAUGUUAAAAUAUUUGACUUCAGAAACCCAUA